rnacentral:rRNA from 1 species
GACGAACGCUGGCGGCGUGCUUAACACAUGCAAGUCGAACGAAGUGGCGAACGGGUGAGUAACGCGUAAUCAACCUGCCCUUCAGAGGGGGACAACAGUUGGAAACGACUGCUAAUACCGCAUACUGAAGGAGGGGAUUGCGUCUGUUUAGCUAGUUGGAGUGGUAACGGCCCACCAGGGCGAUGAUCAGGAGCGGGUCGUGGAGGGUGAACGUCCACAUUGGGACUGAUACACGUCCCAGACUCCUACGAGAGGCAGCAGUAGGGAAUCUUCGGCAAUGGACGAAAGUCUGACCGAGCAACGCCGCGUGAGUGAAGAAGGUUUUCGGAUCGUAAAACUCUGUUGUUAGAGAAGCGGUAUCUAACCAGAAAGCCACGGCUAACUACGUGCCAGCAGCCGCGGUAAUUC